GCAUUCGACCAUACCUUGGGUAAUACGCCGUAUCCCGUUCCGAAUUGCGCAGCUAAGCCCCAAUGGG
rnacentral:rRNA from 1 species